CCCUUAGAUGUUCUGGGCCGCACGCGCGCUACACUGAUGCAUUCAACGAGUUUCUUCCUGGUCCGAGAGGAAUGGGUAACCUUUUGAAAGUGCAUCGUGAUAGGGAUAGACUAUUGCAAUUAUUGGUCUUCAACGAGGAAUUCCUAGUAGACGUAGUUCAUCAGACUGCAUCGAUUACGUCCCUGCCCUUUGUACACACCGCCCGUCGCUCCUACCGAUUGGGUGUGCUGGUGAAAUGUUCGGAUCGGCCGUUUGUCGCGGUUUCCGCGGCUCGUGGCUGAGAAGUUCAUUAAACCCUCCCACCUAGAGGAAGGAGAAGUCGUAACA
rnacentral:rRNA from 1 species